GGUGUAAUAGUGUAAUAGUUAGCUCUCUGGACUUUGAAUGCAGAAAUCCAAGUUCAAAUCUUGGUGGAAUCU
rnacentral:tRNA from 1 species